rnacentral:rRNA from 1 species
UACGGAGGGGGCGAGCGUUGUCCGAAGUUACUGGGCGUAAAGCGCGCGUAGGCGGGUUGGUAAGUCCGCUGUGAAAGCCCGGAGCUCAACUCCGGAGGGUCGGUGGAUACUGCCAGUCUUGAAGGUGCUAGGGGGAGAUGGAAUUACCGGUGUAGCGGUGAAAUGCGUAGAGAUCGGUAGGAACACCAGUGGCGAAGGCGGUCUCCUGGGGCAUUCUUGACGCUGAGGCGCGAAAGCUGGGGGAGCGAACGGG